rnacentral:rRNA from 1 species
GACGAACGCUGGCGGCGUGCUUAACACAUGCAAGUCGAACGGUGAAGCUCCAGCUUGCUGGAGUGGAUCAGUGGCGAACGGGUGAGUAACACGUGAGCAACCUGCCCCAGACUCUGGAAUAAGCGCUGGAAACGGCGUCUAAUACUGGAUACGAGAUCAAGCCGCAUGGUUAUGGUCUGGAAAGUUUUUCGGUGUGGGAUGGGCUCGCGGCCUAUCAGCUUGUUGGUGAGGUAAUGGCUCACCAAGGCGACGACGGGUAGCCGGCCUGAGAGGGCGACCGGCCACACUGGGACUGAGACACGGCCCAGACUCCUACGGGAGGCAGCAGUGGGGAAUAUUGCACAAUGGGCGAAAGCCUGAUGCAGCGACGCCGCGUGAGGGAUGACGGCCUUCGGGUUGUAAACCUCUUUCAGCAGGGAAGAAGCGAAAGUGACGGUACCUGCAGAAGAAGCACCGGCUAACUACGUG